rnacentral:rRNA from 1 species
GACAGAAGGUGCAAGCGUUACUCGGAAUCACUGGGCGUAAAGCGUCUGUAGGUGUUUUCCCACGUCUGGAUUUAAAUUGCGGGGCUCAACCCCGCACCCGAUCUGGAAACGAGGAGAAUUGAGUCAUUCAGAGGCAUCUGGAAUGUCGUGUGUAGGGGUAAAAUCCGUAGAUACACGAUGGAACGCCAAAAGCGAAGGCAGGAUGCUAGGAAUGCACUGACACUCAGAGACGAAAGCGUGGGGAGCAAAGGGG